GUAAGACAAGCUUCCUAAAUUGCUGCUAGUAACUGGCCCAGCUCUCAGUCCCACCCAGGCAAUUUCUCAGAGAUCAGUGCAGUCAGGAGCAUCAGAAUUAGGAAAUCAGAAGGAAACAAUUCAGGCUGUUGCAGUUGUCCUUAACAUUUUGUGAUGCAAUUCCAUGUUUUGCCACACUUAAUUUUAUUAUUGCAUAACCAUUUCUUUUGUGCACCUAGACCUCUGGAACAACACUGGAAUUUUUGCAAACAACUACCAAAGAUGUCAUGCUUGCUUCAAACUGCUUGUAGGUGAAACAACAGCUGGAUGAGAAGUACAGUAAACAGGUAAGUAAUGGAGAGAUUAUCCUUUAUGUAAUAAGCAAUACUCACAGCCAAGUGAGUGCUUUGUUAAAGGAAGAGCAGUGGUGCUUUACAACAAAUGUUCCUUUGUAUUGCAAACUCCAGCCAGUCUUCUGUGUCAACAAGACCUAUUUCCUCUGCCUUGGGACAGAAGCCGAAUGACAUGUGAGCUAGCAGAUACACGGGCUGAUGUGUCUUGCAUUGCUAUAGGAUCUGGACUGCAUUGGAAAAAUUCUUGAUCCACUUCAGUAAACUAAAACAACAGCUUUUCUGUCAAAUUCAGAGGAAAAAGUACAAGAAAAAAUGAGGAUUUAUCGCCAUCUGGAGGGGAUCUCAGCGGUGCUGCCCUGCAAGUGCAUCAGGAUGCUGCAGCAAUGGCAUUACUGCGGUCUCCAGAAUGUCUGUAAGGGACACAGCCCUCAUCGUGCUGCUCUCCCCACAGCUUUUUCUGUUCCUCUGGCACCCAAUGAAGAUCUGCCAUGAGGAUGGUUUCACUGAGCACCAGGGACCACCGGUGAAGACCUGUAGACAUCCUCUCUUUACCAGGUAUGAAAUGGGGAUUUUUAGUUGAGGAGGCUCUUUAAUAGAGGCAAUACCAGAAAAACUUGUAAAAAAACACGGUACACCUUGAGCCUUUCCCAGUCAAGGAAAGAAAUUACUGCCAUUUCCCAAAGCAGGCGUUAGGCUUUGUAGGGCUGCCAAAACUGUCACCAGGUACCACUGACCCAGCAAGAAACAUGUUAGUAGAAGCACUCAGUCAUGCACAUCAGACAGGUACACCUGGAAGAGCCAGUGCUGUCUUGCCAGGGGCUCAAAGCAAAUAUCCACGGCUGGGGACAGAUAACUC
rnacentral:lncRNA from 1 species